UACGUAGGGGGCGAGCGUUGUCCGGAAUUAUUGGGCGUAAAGAGCGUGUAGGCGGUUCGGUAAGUCCGCCGUGAAAACCUGGGGCUCAACCCUGGGCGGGCGGUGGAUACUGCUGGGCUAGAGGAUGGUAGAGGCGAGUGGAAUUCCCGGUGUAGCGGUGAAAUGCGCAGAUAUCGGGAGGAACACCAGUAGCGAAGGCGGCUCGCUGGGCCAUUCCUGACGCUGAGACGCGAAAGCUAGGGGAGCGAACAGG
rnacentral:rRNA from 1 species